rnacentral:rRNA from 1 species
CCUACGGGCGGCAGCAGUGAGGCAUAUUGGUCAAUGGACGAGAGUCUGAACCAGCCAAGUAGCGUGAAGGAUGACUGCCCUAUGGGUUGUAAACUUCUUUUAUAUGGGAAUAAAACGUUCCACGUGUGGGAUUUUGUAUGUACCAUAUGAAUAAGGAUCGGCUAACUCCGUGCCAGCAGCCGCGGUAAUACGGAGGAUCCGAGCGUUAUCCGGAUUUAUUGGGUUUAAAGGGAGCGUAGGUAGAUUGUUAAGUCAGUUGUGAAAGUUUGCGGCUCAACCGUAAAAUUGCAGUGGAAACUGGCAGUCUUGAGUACAGUAGAGGUGGGCGGAAUUCGUGGUGUAGCGGUGAAAUGCUUAGAUAUCACGAAGAACUCCGAUUGCGAAGGCAGUUCACUGGACUGCAACUGACACUGAGGCUCGAAAGUGUGGGUAUCAAACAGGAUUAGAUACCCCUGUAGUC